rnacentral:rRNA from 1 species
UACGCAGGGGGCAAGCGUUGUCCGGAAUUAUUGGGCGUAAAGCGCGCGCAGUCGGCUAUGUAAGUCUGGUGUAUAACCUCAGGGCUCAACCCUGGGUCGCACUGGAAACUGUGUAGCUUGAGUACAGAAGAGGAAAGUGGAAUUCCACGUGUAGCGGUGAAAUGCGUAGAGAUGUGGAGGAACACCAGUGGCGAAGGCGACUUUCUGGGCUGUAACUGACGCUGAGGCGCGAAAGCGUGGGGAGCAAACA